rnacentral:rRNA from 1 species
CAGAGAAAUUUGGAUUAAUACCUCAUAGUAUAUAGCCUCCACCUGGAGAUUAUAUUAAAGGUUACGGUACAAGAUGAGUAUGCGUUCUAUUAGCUAGAUGGUAAGGUAACGGCUUACCAUGGCAACGAUAGAUAGGGGCCCUGAGAGGGGGAUCCCCCACACUGGUACUGAGACACGGACCAGACUCCUACGGGAGGCAGCAGUGAGGAAUAUUGGACAAUGGGCGAGAGCCUGAUCCAGCCAUGCCGCGUGCAGGAUGACUGCCCUAUGGGUUGUAAACUGCUUUUAUACAGGAAGAAACACUCCCUCGUGAGGGAGCUUGACGGUACUGUAAGAAUAAGGAUCGGCUAACUCCGUGCCAGCAGCCGCGGUAAUACGGAGGAUCCAAGCGUUAUCCGGAAUCAUUGGGUUUAAAGGGUCCGUAGGUGGAUAAUUAAGUCAGAGGUGAAAUCCUGCAGCUCAACUGUAGAAUUGCCUUUGAUACUGGUUAUCUUGAGUUAUUAUGAAGUAGUUAGAAUAUGUGGUGUAGCGGUGAAAUGCAUAGAUAUCACAUAGAAUACCAAUUGCGAAGGCAGAUUACUAAUAAUUAACUGACACUGAUGGACGAAAGCGUGGGGAGCGAACAGGAUUAGAUACCCUGGUAGUCCACGCCGUAAACGAUGGUUACUAGUUGUUCGAACUUCGGUUUGAGUGACUAAGCGAAAGUGAUAAGUAACCCACCUGGGGAGUACGUUCGCAAGAAUGAAACUCAAAGGAAUUGACGG